CGAUACCCGACCCAUCGUUGGCAUGCUUGAUGACGAUAGAAUCCGAAGCCUCUUCGCCAAGCAACCCUCUGAGGGUGCUAUCCAGGCAUUCGCUGAAAAUGUUAUAGUGCUCGAAGAGGCCCCCAUCCAUGGCAACCACUGUCCGCCUCUUCUCGACACGGACGAUGUCCCUGCCCUGCUUCUUCAGGAUGCCAAAAAUCCCCGCUGCAGCCAGGCGAGCCCCACGUUUGGCAACAGUGUCG
rnacentral:misc_RNA from 1 species